GGUAGUUCUCCUAAAUUCAUGCUUGCCAGUGGAUGACGUUUUUUUAAUUAUGAAAUGCUUCCAGGUAAUAGGAAUAUAAAAAUCGUGUUUGCUCGCAAAU